GACGAACGCUGGCGGCGUGCUUAACACAUGCAAGUCGAGCGGAAAGGCCCUUCGGGGUACUCGAGCGGCGAACGGGUGAGUAACACGUGAGUAAUCUGCCCCAUGCUUCGGGAUAGCCAGCCGAAAGGCUGAUUAAUACCGGAUACGACACUCCCCGGCAUCGGGUGGGUGUGGAAAGUUUUUUCGGCGUGGGAUGUGCUCGCGGCCUAUCAGCUUGUUGGUGGGGUAAUGGCCUACCAAGGCUUCGACGGGUAGCCGGCCUGAGAGGGUGACCGGCCACACUGGGACUGAGACACGGCCCAGACUCCUACGGGAGGCAGCAGUGGGGAAUAUUGGACAAUGGGCGGAAGCCUGAUCCAGCAACGCCGCGUGAGGGGUGACGGCCUUCGGGUUGUAAACCUCUUUCAGCACAGACGAAGCGCAAGUGACGGUAUGUGCAGAAGAAGGACCGGCCAACUACGUGCCAGCCGCCGCAGUAACAC
rnacentral:rRNA from 1 species